rnacentral:rRNA from 1 species
AGAGUUUGAUCCUGGCUCAGAAUGAACGCUAGCGGCGUGGUUAAGACAUGCAAGUCGAACGAUUUUUUAAAUGUAGCAAUAUAUUUAAAGGAUAGUGGCAGACGGGUGCGUAACACGUGAACAAUUUACCAUUUAGUGUGGAAUAAUUCGCCGAAAGGCGAAUCAAUACCGCAUGUGGUUGCUUUUCGCAUGGGAAGCAUACUAAAGUCAGGGACCGCAAGGCCUGACGCUAUUUGAGAAGUUCGCGGCCUAUCAGCUAGUUGGUGAGGUAAUGGCCCACCAAGGCUAAGACGGGUAGCUGGUCUGAGAGGAUGGUCAGCCACACUGGAACUGAGACACGGUCCAGACACCUGCGGGUGGCAGCAGUUUCGAAUUAUUCACAAUGGGCGAAAGCCUGAUGGUGCGACGCCGCGUGAGGGAUGAAGGUCCUUGGAUUGUAAACCUCUGUCACUGAGGAAAAAACGUUUUGGGUUAACAGCCCAGAACCUGAUUUAACACAGAAAGGAAGCAGUGGCUAACUCUGUGCCAGCAGCCGCGGUAAUACAGAGACUGCAAGCGUUAUUCGGAUUCACUGGGCGUAAAGGGUGCGCAGGCGGUUGUGUGUGUAAGGUGUGAAAUCCCGGAGCUUAACUCCGGAACUGCGCCUUAAACUACAUGGCUAGAGUAUUGGAGAGGGUAGUGGAAUUCACAAUGUAGCAGUGAAAUGCGUAGAUAUUGUGAAGAACACCAGAGGCGAAGGCGACUACCUGGACAAUUACUGACGCUCAGGCACGAAAGCGUGGGGAGCGAAAGAGAUUAGAUACCCCUGUAGUCCACGCCCUAAACGGUGCACACUAGAUCUUGGUGGAUUCGACCCCACCAGGGUCCAAGCUAACGCGUUAAGUGUGCCGCCUGGGGAGUACGGCCGCAAGGCUAAAACUCAAAGGAAUUGACGGGGGCCCGCACAAGCGGUGGAGCAUGUGGCUUAAUUCGAUGCAACGCGAAGAACCUUACCAGGCCUUGACAUGCACUAGAUCGACCCUGAAAGGGGUUUUCUCCUUGGAGCUGGUGCACAGGUGCUGCAUGGCUGUCGUCAGCUCGUGUCGUAAGAUGUUGCGUUAAGUCGUGUAACGAGCGCAACCCCUGUCCUUAGUUGCUACCGGAUAAAGCCGAGCACUCUAAGGAGACAAACCCUUUUAGGGUGGGAAGGUGGGGAUGACGUCAAGUCAGGAUGGCCUUUAUGGCCUGGGCUGCACACGUGCUACAAUGCCCGAUACAAUGGGGUGCAAUACCUUGAGGUGGAGCAAAUCCUUAAAAUCGGGCCCAGUUCAGAUUGUAGUCUGCAAUUCGACUACAUGAAGUCGGAAUCGCUAGUAAUGGCGCAUCAGCUACGGCGCCGUGAAUACGUUCCCGGGCCUUGUACACACCGCCCGUCACGUCAUGAAAGCCGGUUUUUCCCGAAGUGUGUUUUGCCAACCAGUUAUGGAGGCGACGCCCUAAGGUGAGGCUGGUGAUUGGGACGAAGUCGUAACAAGGUAACCGUAGGGGAACCUGCGGUUG